rnacentral:rRNA from 1 species
GAUGAACGCUGGCGGCGUGCCUAAUACAUGCAAGUCGAGCGAACGGACGAGAAGCUUGCUUCUCUGAUGUUAGCGGCGGACGGGUGAGUAACACGUGGAUAACCUACCUAUAAGACUGGGAUAACUUCGGGAAACCGGAGCUAAUACCGGAUAAUAUUUUGAACCGCAUGGUUCAAAAGUGAAAGACGGUCUUGCUGUCACUUAUAGAUGGAUCCGCGCUGCAUUAGCUAGUUUGUAAGGUAACGGCUUACCAAGGCAACGGUGCAUAGCCGACCUGAGAGGGUGAUCCGGCCAACUGGAACUGGGACACGGGCCCGACUCCUACGGGAGGGAAGAGGGGGGGAAAUUGCCCAAAGGGGGGAAGGCCGGACCGGCCAAGCCGCGGGGGGGAAGAAGGUCCUCGGAUUGGAAAAACCUUUUAGUUGGGAAAAAACAAAGGUAGAAAAAACCUUGCACAUUUGACGGGUCCCAAAUAAAAAGCCCCGGCUAAAUUCGUG